ACAUCCAGAGAAUUUAGCAGAGAUGCUUUAGUGCCUUCGGGAACUCUGAGACAGGUGCUGCAUGGCUGUCGUCAGCUCGUGUUGUGAAAUGUUGGGUUAAGUCCCGNAACGAGCGCAACCCUUAUCCUUUGUUGCCAGCACGUAAUGGUGGGAACUCAAAGGAGACUGCCGGUGAUAAACCGGAGGAAGGUGGGGAUGACGUCAAGCCAUCAUGGCCCUUACGAGUAGGGCUACACACGUGCUACAAUGGCGCAUACAAAGAGAAGCGACCUCGCGAGAGCAAGCGGACCUCAUAAAGUGCGUCGUAGUCCGGAUUGGAGUCUGCAACUCGACUCCAUGAAGUCGGAAUCGCUAGUAAUCGUAAAUCAGAAUGUUACGGUGAAUACGUUCCCGGGCCUUGUACACACCGCCCGUCACACCAUGGGAGUGGGUUGCAAAAGAAGUAGAUAGCUUAACCUUCGGGAGGGCGUUUACCACUUUGUGAUUCAUGACUGGGGUGAAGUCGUAACAAGGUAGGCGUAGUGCU
rnacentral:rRNA from 1 species